rnacentral:rRNA from 1 species
AAUGAGUCUGCGAGUUGUUGUCUGUGGCAAGCCUAAGUCCUUAUGGGAUGGAGGCGAAGGGAAACCGAGUGUGAAAUGCGCGAUUUAGUCGCAGGCAAUAGACCCGAAGCGGAGGUGAUCUAUUCAUGAGCAGGUUGAAGCAGCGGUAAUACGCUGUGAAGGACCGAACCGGUGUACGUUGAAAAGUGCUCGGAUGACUUGUGAAUAGGAGCGAAAGACUAAUCAAACCCCGUGAUAGCUGGUUCUCUCCGAAAUAGAUUGAGGUCUAGCGUCAGAUGCUGACUUACGGAGGUAGAGCACUGGAUGGCUUAGGGCCCAUACCAGGGUACCAAAACCAAUCAAACUCCGAAUGCCGUAAGGUGUAAUCUGGCAGUGAGUCUGUGGGGGAUAAGCUUCACAGGCGAGAGGGAAACAUCCCAGACCGUCGGCUAAGGUGCCGAAAUAUGAUUAAGUGGAAAGGAUGUGAUGUUACUUAGACAGUGAGGAUGUUGGCUUAGAGGCAGCCACCAUUUAAACAGUGCGUAAUAGCUGACUCAUCGAGUGACAUCGCGCCGAAAAUGAUUGGCGAUUAAAUCAUAUACCGAAGCCACGGACCCCGUUAUGCGGGGUGGUAGGAGAGCAUAAUCAGUGCUGCGAAGCUGGACUGUAAAGGAAAGUGGAGCGCUGAUUAGUGAGAAUGCAGACAUGAGUAGCGAUAAGCCAGAUGAGAAUUCUGGCCGCCGUAAACCCAAGGUUUCCUGGGGCAGGUUCGUCCGCCCAGGGUUAGUCGGGAGCUAAGACGAGGCCGUAGGGCGUAGUCGAUGCACAGCAGUUUAAUAUUCCUGCACCGGCAAGGGUUAAGGUAACAAGGGACGUGAAUAAGAAAGUGACUAAGUCAUCGAAAGACAGAGCCUAGCCUUCGGGCGAAGCGCAUCACCGGACUAUUGACCGAGAAAAGCUUGUUAUUGUUCCCCUGGCCGCCCGUACCGUAAACCGACACAGGUGGGUGAGUGUAAAUGCACUAAGGCGCGCGAGAUAAACCUCUCUAAGGAACUCGGCAAAAUAGCCCCGUAACUUCGGGAGAAGGGGUACCCCACGCAAGUGGGGUCACAGUAAAUUGGGUUUGGCGACUGUUUACCAAAAACACAGCACUCUGCUAAGUCGUGAAGACGACGUAUAGGGUGUGACACGUGACCAAUGCGACAAGAUUAAGGUGACUUGUUAGCCCUUGAGGCGAAGCUCGGAGCCGAAGUCCUCGUGAAUGUCGGCCGUAACUAUAACGGUCCUAAGGUAGCGAAAUUCCUUGUCGGGUAAGUUCCGACCUGCACGAAUCGUGUAACGACCGAACCGCUGUCUCGGAGAGGUUCUCGGCGAAAUUGUAGUGGCGGUGAAGAUGCCGCCUACCCGCGGUAGGACGGAAAGACCCUAUGCACCUUUACUAUAAGCUGGUAUUGGGUUCUGAUUCUUAAUGCGUAGCAUAGGUGGGAGACUUUGAAACGAUGGCUUCGGUUGUCGUGGAGUCGCCAGUGAAAUACCACUCUUUAUUAAUUAGGAUUCUAACCCCGAUCCUGUGAAGCCAGGCGGGGAACAGUGCCUGCGGGUUAGUUUGACUGGGGCGGUUUCCUCCCAAAGAGUAACGGAGGAGCGCGAAGGUACUCUCAGCACGGUUGGCAAUCGUGCGUCGAGCGCAUGGGUAGAAGAGUGCUUAACUGUGAGACACACACGUCGAGCAGAUGCGAAAGCAGGCCCAAGUGAUCCGAUAGUAGAAUGUGGAAUUGCUAUCGCUCAACGGACAAAAGGUACGCUAGGGAUAACAGGCUGAUCGCGCCCAAGAGUUCAUAUCGACGGCGCGGUUUGGCACCUCGAUGUCGCAGAUCGGAAGAGCACACGUCUGAACUCCAGUCA